rnacentral:rRNA from 1 species
GAUGAACGCUAGCGACAGGCUUAACACAUGCAAGUCGAGGGGCAGCACGGGAGUAGCAAUACAACUGGUGGCGACCGGCGCACGGGUGAGUAACGCGUAUGCAACCUACCUAUCAGAGGGGAAUAACCCGGCGAAAGUCGGACUAAUACCGCAUAAAACAGGGGCACCGCAUGGUGAUAUUUGUUAAAGAAAUUCGCUGAUAGAUGGGCAUGCGUUCCAUUAGGUAGUUGGUGAGGUAACGGCUCACCAAGCCGACGAUGGAUAGGGGAACUGAGAGGUUGGUCCCCCACACUGGUACUGAGACACGGACCAGACUCCUACGGGAGGCAGCAGUGAGGAAUAUUGGUCAAUGGGCGGGAGCCUGAACCAGCCAAGUCGCGUGAAGGAAGAAGGAUCUAUGGUUCGUAAACUUCUUUUGCAGGGGAAUAAAGUGCAGGACGUGUCCUGUUUUGUAUGUACCCUGAGAAUAAGGAUCGGCUAACUCCGUGCCAGCAGCCGCGGUAA